AAUUGAAAUAGCAGUAGUGCUAUUGCUUUCCAUUCGAUCGGACUUGACUAUCGCAGUGAACAAAUGCGCAUGCGCAUUUUGUUGUUUCGUUUUAUACGCCUGCGCGUGCCAUUACUUCUUUUGGCGCACAAUUAAUAGAUUUGUUGAACUAUCAAGAUAUGACCGUGAAUCAUAAGUGAAAAUAAUCUGCGAUUUCGAUCCUGCAGUUUUUUUUGAAAUUGUUUAAAAUAAAUAGUGUUUGUUAUUAAUACAUUUUGUUUGGAAAUUGUUUGCAUUUUUCUAACUUUAACGAGUUUUCUAAUAGAUGAAUAUUAUUACGUGAAGAGAAAGAUGCCGUUUUUUUCAUCAUAUUGUAGAUAAUAAACUUCUUCAUCUUUGUAUUAAGAUCAUAGUUGUCUAUUCUUCACCGAAAAAAAAGACAGAAAAAAGAAAGAAAGAGAAUUAACAUAUCGUUCGAUAAUAAUUAAUUAA